rnacentral:rRNA from 1 species
AGUGAACGCUGGCGGUAGGCCUAACACAUGCAAGUCGAACGGCAGCACAGUAAGAGCUUGCUCUUACGGGUGGCGAGUGGCGGACGGGUGAGGAAUACAUCGGAAUCUACUUUUUCGUGGGGGAUAACGUAGGGAAACUUACGCUAAUACCGCAUACGACCUACGGGUGAAAGCAGGGGAUCUUCGGACCUUGCGCGAUUGAAUGAGCCGAUGUCGGAUUAGCUAGUUGGCGGGGUAAAGGCCCACCAAGGCUACGAUCCGUAGCUGGUCUGAGAGGAUGAUCAGCCACACUGGAACUGAGACACGUUCCACACUCCUACGGGAGGCAGCAGUGGAGAAUAUUAGACGAUGGGCGCAAGCCUGAUCCAGCCAUACCGCGUGGGUGAAGAAGGCCUUCUGGUUGUAAAGCCCUUUUGUUGGGAAAGAAAAGCAGCAGGUUAAUACCCCGCUGUUCUGACGGUACCCAAAGAAUAAGCACCGGCUAACUUCGUG